GAUGAACGCUGGCGGCGUGCCUAAUACAUGCAAGUCGAGCGAACUGAUUAGAAGCUUGCUUCUAUGACGUUAGCGGCGGACGGGUGAGUAACACGUGGGCAACCUGCCUGUAAGACUGGGAUAACUUCGGGAAACCGAAGCUAAUACCGGAUAGGAUCCUCUCCUUCAUGGGAGAUGAUUGAAAGAUGGUUUCGGCUAUCACUUACAGAUGGGCCCGCGGUGCAUUAGCUAGUUGGUGAGGUAACGGCUCACCAAGGCAACGAUGCAUAGCCGACCUGAGAGGGCGAUCGGCCACACUGGGACUGAGACACGGCCCAGACUCCGACGGGAGGCAGCAGUAGGGAAUCUUCCGCAAUGGACGAAAGUCUGACGGAGCAACACCGCGUGAGUGAUGAAGGCUUUCGGGUCGUAAAACUCUGUUGUUAGGGAAGAACAAGUACGAGAGUAACUGCUCGUACCUUGACGGUACCUAACCAGAAAGCCACGGCUAACUACGUGCCAGCAGCCGCGGUAAUAC
rnacentral:rRNA from 1 species